rnacentral:lncRNA from 1 species
CAGUUUGUCAGAUUGGUUUAAGCUAAUAAUCAGGUAUUUUUUACCAUUGAUGCCCAAAUUAUAUUUCAGCUUUCUGAGAAAUCCCACAUUUGAGGCUCAGAAUGAAGUAGCAUUCCCACCGUACAUUAGUGUAUAGUACAAGGAUGAACAAACCAGGAUUCAAAGUCAUAUACCCAUUCUUGAAGAACACCCACAACACACUGUUGAAAACAUAAAUUGUUAGUUUAGUGGAAUUAUGUGUGUCGACAUGGAGACUGAAAAGAGUGUGAACUGAUUGAUGUACCACAUGCAAAAUCGCUCUGGUUAGUAGUUUGGGUUAAUGACUGUUAGUUUAGGCUUCUAUGAGACAUUUAUGUCGUGCUCAACGAUAACACUAGGCUUAGUUAAGAGCAUUUCCCUUAAUGAAACCUUAAUGAGUGUUUUUCCUAAUGGGUGUUGGUUAAAAUUUGUACUAAAAUUGUUAGUACAUGCUUUGAGGUAUCAGGUUUACCGCCCAUGCCACUGCUUUCAUGUGUGAGUUCUCCUUCUCCAUUCCUAAUCCAUCUUCAUCCCGAUCAAUAUCAAUAUGGAUGUCUGCCCCACCUAAGUUACUACCAUGCACAUCUUUUUAUUUAUUUAUUUAUUUAUGCAACACAUUAAAGUUGCAACUCCGGGCUCUCUCCUUUUCAAUAUACUGUUGUACAUUCUUAUUCACUCAAUGUUGUACUCCUCUCUCACAUUAUCACUACUACUACACAAAAAGUCCAUUUAUUUAUCACUAUGUAACUGCACGCACUCUGCGCCUGAUUUACAGGUAUAUAUACACACAGUACGGUUAUUAAAAAGAAAAAAAAAAAACACGUGUCAUAACUUUUGUUUCUGGUGACGCAGUGACAUAAAAAUAGUAUUAUUUCACUGUAGACUUUACCUCCUGUCUUUAUAAGUAGUAAAGAUGUUUUGUUUGAUUUGUUUUAAAUCAUUUUGUACGUUGAGUUUUCAGUCCAUUUAUAAUCCAUGACAAAUAUCCAUACUGAAACCAAGCUUGAAAGAUUUGUAUUUGUCUUCAAAAUUGUAUUACUAAGGUUUAACGUUCGAUGAUCAAUCUGGAGUUUGUAGAGACUACUAUACAUAGUUGCAUGGUCUUCAAGCAUUGAAUUGUACAAACUAUUGAGAAGAUUAAGAGCAGAUUAUGGACGAGUUAGACCAAGAGAUGGCUGAAUGUGGUCAUGUAUCGAUGAGUAUUAGGCGCAUGACUGGUACAUAUGUCGCCUGCAAAGGUGACAAUGUUAGUACACCGGCAAUCAUAGAUUGGAUCAGACUUGAGCUUGGUAGAAUACGUGGAGAGCUGAGCAAGAUUUUUGGAUUAGAUUGUGGAACAUUGAUCUUUUAGAUUUAGAUCCGACUUAUAUAUUCUAUUGCUUAAUUUUGCUGAAAAUUGUCAUUUGGCAUAAAAAAUGGGACAUGAGACACUGUCACUAUGGUGCGCUAAUUUGUAUUGUUGUUAGCUUAUAAAGCUGACGAUACACCAUAUGUACAUAGCAUUUUUAUGUUCAUCAUGUUACUUUUACCAUAUUAUUUUCUGUAUAAAGAACAGUUU